GAGUUUGAUCCUGGCUCAGGAUGAACGCUAGCGGCAGGCUUAACACAUGCAAGUCGAGGGGCAGCACGAUGUAGCAAUACAUGGGUGGCGACCGGCGCACGGGUGCGUAACACGUAUGGAAUCUGCCCUUUACUGGGGGAUAGCCCGGAGAAAUCCGGAUUAAUACCCCAUAACAGGCGAGGUGGCAUCACCUUGCUUUGAAAGCUCCGGCGGUAAAGGAUGACCAUGCGCACGAUUAGCUAGUUGGUGAGGUAACGGCUCACCAAGGCUACGAUCGUUAGGGGGCCUGAGAGGGUUAUCCCCCACACUGGUACUGAGACACGGACCAGACUCCUACGGGAGGCAGCAGUGAGGAAUAUUGCGCAAUGGAGGCAACUCUGACGCAGCCAUGCCGCGUGCAGGAAGAAGGCGCUACGCGUUGUAAACUGCUUUUAUCCGGGAAGAAACCCCUCGACGUGUCGAGGGUUGACGGUACCGGAGGAAUAAGCACCGGCUAACUUCGUGCCAGCAGCCGCGGUAAUACGAAGGGUGCAAGCGUUAUCCGGAUUCAUUGGGUUUAAAGGGUGCGUAGGCGGAGCGCUAAGUCAGUGGUGAAAUCCUGCAGCUUAACUGUAGACUUGCCAUUGAUACUGGCGUUCUUGAGUGCGCCUGAAGUAGGCGGAAUGUGCCGUGUAGCGGUGAAAUGCUUAGAUAUGGCACAGAACACCAAUUGCGAAGGCAGCUUACUAAGGCGAUACUGACGCUGAGGCACGAAAGCGUGGGGAGCGAACAGGAUUAGAUACCCUGGUAGUCCACGCCGU
rnacentral:rRNA from 1 species